GUGUAAGCACCGAUCGCGGAUCGUAUGUGAAGCUUGAACUACGUUAGAAGAGCUGUGAUCCUCUCCACUCGACACGUUCAACAGGCCACAUUAAAUCACCCUCGUCUUACGUUGCGUUAGGGUCAGGAAAGAAAGAGAGAAAGAGAGAGACGACGCACCAAAGUACGUAGCUGUGGAAGAUGAUGAUGGGUGCAAGACUGUCCUGCGUUUCCCAUCUGCGAGUUUCGAGAAAUCGUAAAUCGUAAUGGGCAUCAACUAUCUUGAAAGGAGGGUACGUUUUGCAAAAAGAAGAAGAAGGAAGAAAAAAAAAUAAAAUAACACGGACAAGUUCGAAGAAAAAUUAUGUAGGACAACAUUGGUGUGUUGUUUGUAGAGAAACGAGAGUCCAGCAGGUGAUGAGGCACGCGAUUCGAAAAUUGCUCUCUCUCUCUUUCUCUCUCUCUUUCUCUCUCUCUCUCUCCCAAGGGAGAGAAUCGACAAAGCUGCACGAAUUCUUCGACUAAUUGUCAAUUCUUCACUUUCUUUCAAACGAACGCUUUUCAACUCACUCAUUUUAUACAUUUCUAUCCAUUUAUAUGUACGCGAAUACAUUUAAAAAAAAAACACACACACAUACAUA